rnacentral:rRNA from 1 species
UACGGGGGGGGCAAGCGUUGUUCGGAAUUACUGGGCGUAAAGGGCGCGUAGGUGGCAAAGUAAGUUGGAUGUGAAAUCCUGGGGCUUAACCUCAGAAUUGCAUUCAAUACUGCUUAGCUAGAGAGCUGUAGAGGAGACUGGAAUUUACGGUGUAGCAGUGAAAUGCGUAGAUAUCGUAAGGAACGCCAGUGGCGAAAGCGAGUCUCUGGGCAGCAUCUGACACUGAGGCACGAAGGCCAGGGGAGCAAACGGG